UACCUCAGUAACGGCGAGUGAAGCGGUAACAGCUCAAAUUUGAAAGCUAGCUCUUUUAGGGUUCGCAUUGUAAUUUGUAGAAGAUGCUUCGGGUGUGGCCCCGGUCUAAGUUCCUUGGAACAGGACGUCAUAGAGGGUGAGAAUCCCGUAUGUGACUGGGUGCUUUCGCUCAUGUGAAGCUCUUUCGACGAGUCGAGUUGUUUGGGAAUGCAGCUCAAAAUGGGUGGUAAAUUUCAUCUAAAGCUAAAUAUUGGCCAGAGACCGAUAGCGCACAAGUAGAGUGAUCGAAAGAUGAAAAGCACUUUGGAAAGAGAGUUAAACAGUACGUGAAAUUGUUGAAAGGGAAGCGCUUGCAACCAGACUUGCGCGCUGAUGAUCAUCCGGGCUUCUGUCCGGUGCACUCGUCUGCGCUCAGGCCAGCAUCGGUUUCGGUGGUGGGAUAAAGGCCUUGGGAAUGUAGCUCCUCUCGGGGAGUGUUAUAGCCCUCGGUGCAAUGCCGCCUAUCGGGACCGAGGACCGCGCUUCGGCUAGGAUGCUGGCGUAAUGGUUGUAAGCGACCCGUCUUGAAACACGGACCAAGGAGUCUAACAUCUAUGCGAGUGUUUGGGUGUCAAACCCAUACGCGUAAUGAAAGUGAACGGAGGUGAGAACCCUUAAGGGUGCAUCAUCGACCGGUCCUGAUGUCUUCGGAUGGAUCUGAGUAAGAGCAUAGCUGUUGGGACCCGAAAGAUGGUGAACUAUGCGUGAAUAGGGUGAAGCCAGAGGAAACUCUGGUGGAGGCUCGCAGCGGUUCUGACGUGCAAAUCGAUCGU
rnacentral:rRNA from 1 species